rnacentral:rRNA from 1 species
ACGAACGCUGGCGGCGUGCUUAACACAUGCAAGUCGAACGGUGAAGCGCCUUCCUUUUUGGUGGGUGUGGAUGAGUGGCGAACGGGUGAGUAACACGUGAGUAACCUGCCCCCUUCUUCUGGAUAACCGCAUGAAAGUGUGGCUAAUACGGGAUAUUCUGGGUCUGUCGCAUGAUGGGUCUGGGAAAGAUAUUGUUUCGGUGGGGGAUGGGCUCGCGGCCUAUCAGCUUGUUGGUGGGGUGAUGGCCUACCAAGGCGGUGACGGGUAGCCGGCCUGAGAGGGUGGACGGUCACACUGGGACGGAGACACGGCCCAGACUCCGACGGGAGGCAGCAGUGGGGAAUAUUGCACAAUGGGCGCAAGCCUGAUGCAGCGACGCCGCGGGAGGGAUGGAGGCCUUCGGGUUGUGAACCUCUUUCGCCAGUGAAGCAGGCCUGCCUCGUUUGUGGGUGGGUUGACGGUAGCUGGAUAAGAAGCGCCGGCUAACUACGUG